rnacentral:lncRNA from 1 species
CAGCACGCUGUGUACCACUCUUGCUGGGUACGCCCACUCUGCCCGCACCUUGAAACCUGACCAGGUCUUCUCCCACCCCAUGAAUGUAAACAUUUUAACAACUAGCCUGACUGUGAAAAGCCCGGAGAAUCCUUCCUACAGGGGACAGUGGUGCAAAGAGAAGCUGGACAGGCGCCCACACCUGGCUGGCACGCACACCUGUGUGCACCGAGGGGGAACUGACGAGCACCUGAAUUGCCAAGCCAGGCUGCAGUAAGUCAUUAGGAUCGGGGUGAGAUGCCCCCACAGGGACAAGGUGAGAAUCAGAGGGGUUUCCUUUCUCAGCUAAGAAAGGCCCCAGGGGCAGCCUCUGCCCCACAUGGCUCUCAGUACCAGCGACGGGCAGGGUCCCUUCGUUCUCACUGCAGUUUCCCCAGGGCUCCCAUGCCACCAGCUGCCUCUUCUAGAAACUCCCCAUCAGGCCUUCUCCCCCACGAAUCUUGGCAAUGCCCUUGCUGCCUCUCUCACACCCUCCUGUCCUCCUCUUCCUACAAACAUGCUCCUGUCUCCAUCCCACCUUGAAGAAACCCUUGGCCGAUACUGCACCCACCCAUGGUCCCAGGAUAACCCCUUUUCUUCUGUAGGCUAAUAAAACAGAGAAAGUAAGUGCAUCGGGCACUCCAGACCAAAGCCAUUUGCAGAAUGGAGUCACAGGCUGACAUCCAAGACUUUAGCCAGCUGGCUUCAGGCAGCAGAUGCAAAGGAGAGGUCAUGAGCAGGCCAGGCCCUGGCUAGGCAGGUGAGAGAUGACAGCGAGCUUGUCUAGGACGAGGGCCCCAGGAAGCCCUUGGGAACCCAGGGUGGUUAGGCCAGGCCAGUUGGUGAGAGCCUGAACUCUGGAAGGAAAGAACAGGCUGUAGUGUGAACGGGACCAUCCCUCCUGCAUCGUAGCUGCCUUGUAAUCCCAUCCUCCUGACUCAGGCUGGGCUCUGCAUCAGGCAACCCAGAGUCCAGGCACCCCAGUUUGUCAGGCCUGUGUGGGACAGCGCCUGAGCCGGGAGGGCUCCCUUCCCUCCUCCAGGAUGCUCUGGCCUUGUCUCUGUCAUGGCCAUUUAUUGCAACCACGGUCAAUAAAGGAGGCAGGAGAGGGCACAGUGGCUGUGAAAACGUUUGGCUCACGAGGAACAGGAAUCCUAACUGGGUGGGACAAGGAGGCAGGUGGUGUCGUGGUUAAAGCACAGGCCUGGGAUCACACUGCAGGGGCUCAGAUCCCAGAUCUGCAACAAUGUGGCUGCGAUGGCCCUGGCUGGGCGCGGUGGCUCAAGCCCCUCCAGUCUCCGAUUCGCCAGCCUGGCUGUUCACACACAGGGGAUGCACCGGCUUCCCAGGCAUCCUGGGCACCCCCUCCAGGUGGCAUCGGGGCUCCCCAGCACUGAAGGGUGUUCAGCAGCCUGCAAACCAACUGACUCACAGAGCCCAGAUAGUGAUGCCAAGACCAGCCGCUCCGGGGCCAACGUCGGAGCUGGAGAGCUGAGCCAGUGGCACGCCAGUCACUGAGGAAGGCCCCUUGUUGAUAAAGACAGGGCAUGAAUUCUUGGGGGGCUGUUACGUACCUUCCCAAAGGGAGAAAGAAACCCCUUGUUCAGUCACCGCACAGCUGUCUCUGGAGACAGGAGCACAAAGCUGCCUUCUGCCCAGGGCACUGCUUCCUUGGCAAGUGACCAGCAGCUGGGACCGCACGUGCCAAAGGCAGCAGCUGCCAUGUUUGACAAACUGGAACGGAGCUAUGUCCAAAUUAAAUCCCCCCAACCAGCCUCUGCCAUACUCCCUUUGGGGACAGGGGUGGUCGGUCGUUACGCUUGCAAAAUUCAAACAGCACCUAGAGUCCCAGGAAAUGGGGCUGCUGGCCAAUAGAGGUGGGACCCAGGGUGACAGGCCACAUGCUCCUCAGAGAGCCAACAGUGUUUCCUGAAUUCUAUGGGAAUUUGCCGAGGGGACAUGGAAGCUAGGAUUCCAGAACACCCGCUGGGAGCCUAGUCCUGGGCUGGGGGCUGCAUUUAUCAUUUCAUCCUCACAACUACCAUUGCAGCUUCGCCUAACAGAGAAGGAGACAAAACUAACCCGGUGGCCACGUGGCCGAAGGCACAGAGCCGUUGAGUGGCAGCGUGGCAUUUGAAUUCAGGCCUGGUGAUGCUGAAGUCCCCAGGUCUUUUUUUUUUUUGAUGCCCACAAAAAUGUAACUACUAAUAGCCUGCUAUUGAUGCAGACCUUACCAAUAACAUAAAUAGUUGAUGAACAC